GCCUCCGUAGCUCAGGGGAUAGAGCACCGCUCUCCUAAAGCGGGUGUCGGCAGUUCGAAUCUGCCCGGGGGCACCG
rnacentral:tRNA from 3 species